GAAAAAAUCAUUAAAGAAAAGAAGACGUCAUCCCGCAUCCGUUUUAUGCUGCAGGACGUGCUGGAUCUGCGAGGGGUGUGUGUCCCCCUCCUCCCCACUGCCCUGCCUCCAGUUUCUGACACUGCCUUGUCUGGCCUUCCCUGACAUCAUCGUGACUGGCCCUCUGUCUCCACAGAGCAAUUGGGUGCCACGCCGAGGGGAUCAGGGUCCCAAGACCAUUGACCAGAUCCAUAAGGAGGCUGAGAUGGAAGAACAUCGAGAGCACAUCAAAGUGCAGCAGCUCAUGGCCAAGGGCAGUGACAAGCGUCGGGGUGGUCCUCCAGGCCCUCCCAUCAGCCGUGGACUUCCACUUGUGGAUGAUGGUGGCUGGAACACAGUUCCCAUCAGCAAAGGUAGCCGCCCCAUUGACACCUCACGACUCACCAAGAUCACCAAGCCUGGCUCCAUCGAUUCUAACAACCAGCUCUUUGCACCUGGAGGGCGACUGAGCUGGGGCAAGGGCAGCAGCGGAGGCUCAGGAGCCAAGCCCUCAGACGCAGCGUCAGAAGCUGCUCGCCCAGCUACUAG
rnacentral:sRNA from 1 species